rnacentral:rRNA from 1 species
UAGGGAAUCUUCGGCAAUGGACGGAAGUCUGACCGAGCAACGCCGCGUGAGUGAAGAAGGUUUUCGGAUCGUAAAGCUCUGUUGUAAGAGAAGAACGAGUGUGAGAGUGGAAAGUUCACACUGUGACGGUAUCUUACCAGAAAGGGACGGCUAACUACGUGCCAGCAGCCGCGGUAAUACGUAGGUCCCGAGCGUUGUCCGGAUUUAUUGGGCGUAAAGCGAGCGCAGGCGGUUAGAUAAGUCUGAAGUUAAAGGCUGUGGCUUAACCAUAGUACGCUUUGGAAACUGUUUAACUUGAGUGCAGAAGGGGAGAGUGGAAUUCCAUGUGUAGCGGUGAAAUGCGUAGAUAUAUGGAGGAACACCGGUGGCGAAAGCGGCUCUCUGGUCUGUAACUGACGCUGAGGCUCGAAAGCGUGGGGAGCAAACAGGAUUAGAUACCCUGGUAGUCCACGCCGUAACGAUGAGUGCUAGGUGUUGGGUCCUUUCCGGGAUUCAGUGCCGCAGCUAACGCAUUAAGCACUCCGCCUGGGGAGUACGACCGCAAGGUU